GAUGAACGCUAGCGAUAGGCUUAACACAUGCAAGUCGAGGGGCAGCACAAGGUAGCUUGCUAUCUGGGUGGCGACCGGCGCACGGGUGCGUAACGCGUAUGCAACUUGCCCUAUACAGGAGGAUAACCCGUCGAAAGACGGACUAAUACUGCGUAUGCUCACAACUUGGCAUCAAGUGGUGAGGAAAGAAAUUCGGUAUAGGAUAGGCAUGCGUCCCAUUAGCUUGUUGGUGAGGUAACGGCUCACCAAGGCAACGAUGGGUAGGGGAACUGAGAGGUUUAUCCCCCACACUGGUACUGAGACACGGACCAGACUCCUACGGGAGGCAGCAGUGAGGAAUAUUAGUCAAUGGGCGCGAGCCUGAACCAGCCAAGUCGCGUGAAGGAUGACUGUCUUAUGGAUUGUAAACUUCUUUUAUACGGGAAUAACAAGAGUCACGUGUGACUCCCUGCAUGUACCGUAUGAAUAAGCAUCGGCUAACUCCGUG
rnacentral:rRNA from 1 species